AACGAACGCUGGCGGCAGGCCUAACACAUGCAAGUCGAACGAAGUCUUCGGACUUAGUGGCGCACGGGUGAGUAACACGUGGGAAUAUACCUUACGCUGGGGGAUAACAUCGGGAAACUGAUGCUAAUACCGCAUACGCCCUUCGGGGGAAAGAUUUAUCGGCGAAAGAUUAGCCCGCGUCCGAUUAGCUAGUUGGUGAGGUAAUGGCUCACCAAGGCUCCGAUCGGUAGCUGGUCUGAGAGGAUGACCAGCCACACUGGGACUGAGACACGGCCCAGACUCCUACGGGAGGCAGCAGUGGGGAAUAUUGGACAAUGGGCGCAAGCCUGAUCCAGCCAGGCCGCGUGAGUGAUGAAGGCCUUAGGGUUGUAAAGCUCUUUCACCCACGACGAUGAUGACGGUAGUGGGAGAAGAAGCCCCGGCUAACUUCGU
rnacentral:rRNA from 1 species